AUGGCUUGGCUACCUUCACUUGCAAGGACAGCCCGGAAACAGCCUGUUUGAAUUAUCCUGUCUCUUGCCUGGGCUGCCUGCCAUGCUGAGAGCUAUUCUGAGCUUUGUUGAGGAGGAAAUGGCUGCCUAGCCUUUUUCCACCUGUGAGACCCAAGACUGAAGGUCCUGGCUGGUUGCCUGUCUGUGGAGAAAUUGCCUCAGAGGGUUUUGUGCUUAGUCAUUGGUUCAAAAGCAUCAAAAGUGCUGAAGAUGAGGAAAAAGGGCUGUGAGGGUCUCUUUGGGGGCUACUGGAGUGUGAGCCGGGAGGCAGCAGGAGGGCUCUCUCUUUUGUGGUAGAAGACCAUGGGUUGGCAAUCUACCAGCCCUCAUACCUGGCAGAACAGCCUUACGAGUGACCUCCUAGUACAAGUCCAUACACCCAACCUAUGAAUACUGGAGUUCAGCAACACAGCACGCUGCAGACAACAAGUUGCUUUCCUUCAAGAUGACAAGGCUCACUGGGAGCUGCUCACCACCGAAGGAUAUGAAGUGUAGUACACACCAGUGAUCCCAGCACUUAGGAGGGAAAGGUAAUAGCAUCUCUGUUUUCCUGUAUGUACAAAUGGAGACUUGACCAAGCAAAGCUGCCCUGAAGGAUGUGAGACCAGUUGGCCCUCUAUGCCCAAGGAUUCAACCAACUGUGGACUGAAAAUAUUAUUGUGAUGUACAUAAAUACAGGAAUAUGAAGGUUUUUUCUUAUCUGUU